UUUAAUAAUAUGAGGGUAG
rnacentral:piRNA from 1 species